AUAUAGUUGUUUUUUUUUGUUUUGUUUGUUUGUUUAUUUAUUGUCUCAAUCCUAAAAUUCUAGGUGAUGCAAAACUUUUGGCCUUAGCUGUAGUUUACUGUAUAUAAAGGAUAAAGGAUGACUUUCCAUUUUAAGAGUAUAUAAAUUAGACCUGCCUGGAUUCUGCGAGUCUGCGAUUGCAGAAAAAAUCACGGAAUUUGCUUUUUCUCGCGGAAUUUUCAAUUUUUUGCAAAAAACUAAUAAAUAAAUAAACUGAAACAUUUGCUCCCUACUAUCACUGUACAUGUCACUAGUGCGCAUACAUGCUGUUUGUAUAGUGAGAAGUGUGGAGUGGUUUCAGUGCGAUCUUUAUUGAGUUCAGCCAUUGAGAGACUCCUAAGGCCAUCGGUGGGCUCGGUAAACAAAUAUAAAUUAGCACCGAAUAUAACGGCAAGUGACAGGGCAUAAAUGCAAAAUGCAAAUGCAGUAUUUCCGGUAACUCACCGUCAUAGAUUCUGUUAAAACGGCAGACCAUGACAACUACCAUGGAUAGACAAACAGUGGCUACUGAAGAACGAAAUAAGUGUGACGUGUUUGGGAUGGGCCCAUCUAGACUGCAUUUCCAAGCAAGAAGAAUCAGAGGACUUCAAGAAAGAAAAAAAUCACUACACCUGUAAUAAGUGCUGCUAGAGUUCAGUCUAGGGGUGUGCCAAAUCUCUAGUAUAUACAAAAAUGAUGUAUAGUUGUAGAUAUUUGUUAAAUUAUAAAUGUUGUUGUUUCUCUUUUUUGUCCACAUUCUAUUAUAGCACACUGUGCACAUGCAGUGUAUAAAAGAGUAUUUUAAAUUGAAACACACUGUGCAGGUACCUCUGAAACACCCAUCAGUUACUUUUUGACAGCAGUAGAAACAUGUGCAUGCAUGAGAAAUUGUUUCAAUACAAAUGUACCACUUUUUGACAAAAUCAUCAGAAACUGGUAUGUGCAUGAAAAUUGUUUAAAUAUAAAAGUACCCAUUUUUGACAGCAGUAAAACACUUAUCAGAAACUUAUGCACAUAAAAAUGUUUCAAAUAUACAUUUAUUUUUGUGUCACCUUAUCCUUAAAGUAAAUAUUUUUCUUUAUAAACAUA